rnacentral:lncRNA from 1 species
UUAAUUCAACCUGAACCAACAGCAGUUGUGAAACAGUGCAACUAGCAGUGAUGGGAGCAGAAACAUGAAGGUGCUUGCUGUGAGGACAGUGUGGGAUGUGGGGAUUCCAGCUUUGUAGGUACAGAAGAGAAGCAAGACUGGCUCUUACAAAGGGGAGAGAUGGUUGGAAGAAAAUUUGGUGUGUAUGACUUCCUUUGGGGGCAUGGCAUUGUGUAUGAGGGAUGAAUAUGUAUUUGCUUGAAGAGGUCGGUGGUUUGAUUCUUUCUUUUUAACUCCUUUCCCCCCCCAUCACCAAAUAGAAGCAUUGCCAUAGGACGGAGGUGGUGCUGUGUCCCAUCCCACUGCAGCUGAACUACCUGGCUCUUAUUUGACCCAAGCAGCCUUUAUGAUACAGAGAUCACCCAAGACAGAGCAGUGUGUGCAUCUUAGAUGAGAGAGCCUUGUAAAUAAGCAGCCCUGCUAUCCGUCCCAUUACUGCACUAAUUGGAAGGCCUGGGUUUCUGAUGGAGUAAGCAUUUUUUUUAAUAAUAAAAAGGUCGUAAUAUGGUAUCCGGUCUGCUUUAGGCACUGCUGUCUGCUCCGUUUUGUUUAUACUUAAAUAAUGGUGUAGAAAGCAAAUCCCAAAGUUCACAGAAGUAUUAUAUAUGGAAUCGUGUAUUGGCACUUGGAGAUAAUUAGUCGCAGAAAACAACAUCAGCCAGUUCGUGUGUUAAUUGAGCCUGAAAACUUAAACCUGUAAUUGGCAAGCCUAAUGGAGAGCCAUAAAAUCCACUGUAGUUACCCGAGUGCAGAAAUAAUUGUGCUGGGAAGUGUAACAUGAACUGCAUGUCGCAUUUCUGCCCUAAGAAACUGCAGUGGGGAGGGCUCUGCUCCCCGAGGCCCUGCGAGGGGCACUGCUUCCCAUCCACGCAGUCUUUUUAAGUGUAGCAGCUUGCAAUAUUUCCACUCCAGAGAGUGGAAUUCAGCAGGAUGAGCAGCCUGAUGUUUUGUUUGUCAUCGGAGUCUGUUGCAGCUUUUGGAAGCGCUCAGAUCCUCGAGGCCAGCAGGAAGGACCACGAUCCCCGGGGAGCAGCUGGCUCGUGCUUCUGGAGCAUCUCCUGGCCCUGCACUUGUCCUGCUGCCCGUGUCUGCCAGGCAGCCCUCACUGCGCAGUCACUAACAGAGGGAAAAGUCUUCGUGCCGAACAGUGCUGCUGCUUUGUUGUUUGGGAUACGGAUGUUACAGAGCUGCAUUUUGUAACACAGAGGUACCUGAAUCACACCCGGUGCUGCAGGAGGAGGCCUGGCCUCGCCAUGUUGGCACAGCAUCGCUCCGCGGUCACUGUGCUCUCCCAUCACACCCCCGACGGGCAGAAAUCCCUUUUUAUUUUCCCAUAUGCAAACCCCUCCUACUGUUCUCGUGGAGCUCGCAAGUGCUAAAGGUUACAAAAUCCAUCUUUUCUCUAAGAAAGCAACUUAAUUAAUGUGAAAGUUUCUCCCAGGAAGGGAACCCUCAGCAGAUAUGCGGUCUCCCUUGUCCCCUCAUGCAUUUUUCAUCACAGCUCGUGGCUCCCUCCCUGCCUGCCCUAUGAACAAUAUUGAUCGACUGAUUAAGCCAUCAAGCCGUGGCAAACAACUUUAAUUUUCAAACCAAAGCCUUUUAGUUCUCUUCCCUCUCUUGUAUAUUUGUUACCUCCUUAUGAAGUUUGUAAUGUCUCCUUAGAAACAAGCACGUUGGUUGUUUCUUUUUAAAUUAGUGCCCAGGUUAAUUGGGAGCUGCACACCACCGAUAGCCAUCCAUGUGAAGGUGUAAGAAGGGAAAACAGGGAGUGCCGAGCACAGGUUUAGGAGAAAAGAAGGCAGAUGUGGCUCUGAGGGCUGUGUCAGUGGGCACGGUGGGGUGGGCUGGGGUUGGAUUUGGGGAUCUGAGAGGGCUUUUCCAUCCUUCAUGUUUGUGAUUCCCCAUAAUUCAGAGCCUGAUCCAAACUCUCAGGGAAAGACUUGCUUGCGGUGCUUUGCCUGUUCUCUUUGGUGUCUCCACCUUCCUCGAGCCUGUCUUAAGCUCUGGUGAUGAUGAAGGGAGAGGAGAUUGAUGUGCCCCGAGUCCCAGGGUGAGAGCGUGGCACCGCAGCCUCUCUGCACGCGGCUCCGUGAGGCUUGUCAGUGCUGCUCUGCGGGCUUGCAAAUUGCUUUUCAAGGCGCUGGGCUUUCAGGCAGCACAGAGUUUUGAGAGCACCGGUGGGGAAUCGAUGGAAACGGCGUUUGUGGAGGACCUUCAUCUUGAAGCUGCCAGUUCUGCUGCGUCUGGAUUUGUGAGCUGCAAAGAUGAGCAAAAAAAAGCCCCAUGGAGCUGCGCUGCCUGCUGAGGCCUCACCCUGCAGUGCCAGGACCCCACAUUCUGCCCCUGGGGCUCUGCAGGGAACCCAUCUCUCCUUGCCCCAAGCUAUGAGGUGGCCCCCACGUGCUCUCACUGGGACAGGAGCUGUGAGGUUCUGUAGCUGCUGAGCAUGAACUUUACACGUUCCCGUUGCCCUCUGCCUGUGUGGCCUUAUUACAGAGGCGUGCUGUAGAUUUACUUCAAAUACAUGCAACAGGGUGACAGAUCAGCCUCGAGCUGCCUUCAGUGCAGGUUUUAGCAGUGGGUUUAUCACCUUAAUCCUUUUCCUGGGCUUCCCCCCCCCCCCCUUCCCCAAGCUUAGUACAGGACCUGCUUCCUUGCUUGGGGUCGAGCCGAUCAGACAGCACAGGAGCCUCAAAUUCCCCCGGUUUAUCGCUAAUGCCCUACAGCAAGGGAGAGCUUCAGCUCUUCACUCUCACCUGGUGUCCUUCAGAGGAGAUUUUCUGCACACAAAUGGGAGAGCAGCUGUUCUGCUGGGUUCCCUGUGCCUGGCUGUGGUACAGGGUCAGAAGCAGCCUUGUAUGGAUGGGGGGUCAGCAGCAACCCUGAAACACGGCUGCCUUCGAGCAGUUGGAGUUGUUUUCCAUCUUGCUUUGAGGAGCUCAGAGUCUGGCUUUAAGAUCAGCUAAUAAGUUCCUAUCAGGAUGUGCACGUGUUGUGAGCUUGUUGGAGUUCUUGAGGUCAUCUUUUUUCUUCCCUUUUAAAAUCAAAUUAUCGGAACAAACGACGGCGCUGCUUUCCUUGUUAAUGGGGGGAGGCUCUGCAGGGAGGUCAGGGGGGAUUCCUUUGCAGCACACGGGGUCUUUUGUUGCACGGUUUGACUUUUCUGUGUGUCUGUAAAGCUCAUCACAGAUUAUUGGUUUUAUCUGAUGAAAGAAGAGGAAAAAGCUGCAGUGUGGCACAGGAGUGCAGGUGAUCGGGGUUAGCGCAUUGAUCAGGGUUAGCGCACUGAUCAGUUAGCACACCUCUGAGAAUCACUGAGCUGUUAAGGUUGGGAAGGAGUGCUCAGAUUCCCAACCCACCACCUGUGGACACAUCCCUCAGAGCCACAUCAGCGCCACGGAGGUGCUCUUCCUACCAAGCAGACCCUUUGGAGCCAACAGGCAUGGCAAAUGGCAACACAAUCAGAUCCUCGCAUUUAAAAUUGUUCUCCUGCAGAUAAACAUAAGGAAAGCAAACCUUGAGUGUUUAAUGGGACGUGCCUAAGAGGAGAGCUGUGAAGCUCUGCAGAUCCCCUUUGUUUGCGUUGUUUGGUUCCUGUCAUUACAGACACGUGUGAGAUGAGAAGCGCAAACUCCGGAGGUAGAGCAGUGCAGAAGCUGUGUUGGAAACCUCAGUGAGAAGAUGAGCAUUUCUUUUUAAUCUGGAGUGUUUAUUAAAGGUUUUCCUUAGGAUGAGGGGAGGGAAGGUGGUUCGGCACUGUACUAAGAACACAAUGAGUGCCUUUUCAUAGUGAGAUCCAAAUGAGAAGGAUGGGACCAGGAGGGUUUGCAGAGCCACGACUGUGCCCGGUGUGUCCCAUAACCACACACAGCGCUGGGAUUUAUGGGGCGUGGAAAAUUGGAUUUCUUUAAAAUGUAAAUUUUGAGAAGGGUUGUAUUUUAUCGUUCAUCCCCGAGGUAGUGCGGGCUUUAUAAAACCCUUUCUAAUCUUGGAUUGAUGGAUGUCGAUGGGAGUUUUCCAUUCGGUGGAUGUUGGACCGGCCCCAGGGCGCAGCGCAGCAGCCGUCCCUGCAGGGAAUGCAGUCACACCCCGUGAGGUGAUGCUCUUGGACAAGAGGAGCUGUGUUCCUGGGCUGAGUAAAACAGAGGUAGGCAGCUGUGAGCCCCCAAUGCAGCGAGAGGUCGGAGAAGGCUCCGGGCAAAGAGCCGCUGUCCCACUGCUGGAUGGAGGGCACCUCCAAGGACAUCGCCGGCAUCCUCUGCCCGUGUGCUCUGCUGAGCUGUGUGCUCCUGGGAGAUGGAGAUGUGGGGUAUGGCACAGGGACACGGGAUAUGGCAUGCAGACCUUGGGGUGGGGACACUGGGGACAGCAGUCGGAACACUGGAGAUGAUGUGGGGGCACUGGGGAUGGAGAUGCUGAGGAUGGCACAGUGAUACUACAGCGUGGGGACGUGGUGUAUGGUAUGGGGACCUUGGGGACAGCACAGGGACACUGGGUAUGGCGUGGGGACUGUGGAUGGCACAAAGACACUGAGGGCAGCACAGGGUCCUUGGGGUUGGCACAGUAACACUGUGUAUGGUAUGGGGACCUAGGCAAUGGGGACAUGGGGUACAGCAUGGGGACCUUGGGGACAACAUGAGGGCCUUCGGGGUGGCACGGGGACACAGAUUACAGCAUGGUGACCUUGGAGAUGGGAACGUGGGGUACAGCACAAGGACCUCGGGGAUGGUAUGCGGAGACUGGAUAUGACAUGGGGACUCAGAGUACAGCACGGGGACAGUGGGGACAGCACAGGGACUUUGAGAUGGCAUGGGGAGGAGGCAUGCUCUGAGGUGUCUGUGGGGGCUGCAUUCGGGGUGCUGCAUUUGGGAAUGCAGGAUGAGGAGGGAUGAGCUCUGUGCUCGUCUCCCAGUGCUGUUGUGCAGGGAGAGGGGCUGAAUGCUGGAGCUGCUCAGGGAGAAAAAGAGAGAAGUGGGCUCGGGUCUCAUGGAGAGGCCAUGGGGUGUUUCUCCCACUGGGAUUUAAUGACAUCUGUGCAAACAAAAUGCUGCCGUGCGUGUUGCACGUACUUGUAUUUGCCCAGGGACCAUAUUAAAGAAAUAUCCCAAUAUGUGGUGUAAUACAGACAUAAAUCACAUCACUUUUCUGUAGUGUGCCUGAUCAAUCUGUGCAGCAGCUCCCCCUGUUCUACCCCCCCUCCCCUCCCCUCCAUAUAAUGAUCUUCAGUGCAAGAUUAAUAGCAGCCACUUCGAGAGCAUUAAGAUGACAUUAUCUCAAAAGAGAGCAAACACCAUUAGAAUUAAGGGCUGUCACGGGGCCGACAUUCCCAAUUUCUGGGGGAAAAGAGUGGGGCUGGGGCUGAGCAUGGCACAGUGCUCACUGCCGGCCGGCUGUGGGUGCAGCGCUUCCUCCCCAUCUCGGGGCAGGAGAAGGGGUCCCCCCAUGGUGGGGAACGGCCCCGUGCUCUGCGAUGGCAUCGUGGGAUGGGCGUGUUUGGUUGAACCCCCCCCUCCCCACCCCCCCCUCCUUCAUUAACUCGGCCGUUUUCAAGUGCGAACGCCCGGGCUGUAAAUCUGAGGCCAUUUAGCAGCUGAGGUGAACUGUGAAAAGCAGCUUUGCACCAUUUGCAGAUUGCUCGGUGAGCUGAGAGCUGACGCUGCUGACUCACGGGCAGAGCUGUGCUGGCAGCCCCCCAGCCCUGCACCCCCCCCGUCUUUGGCAGCAUCCAAAGUUCAUUCCAAGAACUGAAGUUGUCUGCAUCCAGCAAGGCCACCCGCUGCCCCCGAGUGCUGUGAGCGGCACGGGGCGGCUCUCUGUCCGUCCAUCCGUCCCUUUCCUGUCUGUCCAUCCAUGCAGCCCCCUCCCAGCUCAGUAUCUGGGGCCAACUGGUGGAAGUGGGCCGAUGAUGCCCUGGGCAGAGCCCUGCAGUGCUGCCCCAGCACUGCCACGUUAAGUGUGACAAAGGGAAAUGGAUAACUGAUAGUUGCUGGGGGGUUCUCGCUCACCUGGGGCUCGGCGGGCUUUGAUGCGGUUUGACAGGACCGGACCCACCUCCCUUUAAUUAAACGUCAUCCUGAAAAUUAAAAGGCGAACCUAUUGGCACAUGGAAUUAAAUCAAUCCGUGAUCGGUAACGAGAGAAUGAUGGAGGGGGCGAUGCCCGGGGAUGGAAGGACACACUCAGCAGAUGCUCUCCAAAGGCCACAGCUCAGCAGGAAGCACUGAAUCCAGGUACCCCCCCCGCCCCCCCUUGGCCUCUCAUGGGCAGUGAUGGGUGGGGAGCAGCAUCUGAUCCCACCCCUGGCAAUGGAUGGGAACACCACAGCUCGGUGGGUGCUCAGAGCCGUCCCCCGACCUCGGGUGUCUGCAGGGAUGGGGCACCACCACCUCUCUGGGCACACUGUGCCGGUGCAUCCCCGUCCUUUUUCCUCAUAUGCAGUCUAAACCUCCCCUCUUUUAGUUCACAGCAUCCAUGUCCUACCCCAAUAAGCCCUAUUAAAGAGUCCAUCCCCUUCAGUUUGACCACAGUGCUUGCCUUGAUGACAGAAAGAUCCUGGAAAUAUGUGAACUAAGCAUAUUUCAUUGUCGUGCUUGGAGCAGUCAGCAGAAGGGUUUAGCCUCAUCCUUAACUGAACUGUCCUCAUUACAACACUCAGCAUCACAGCCACUGGAGACCCCAUCCCAUCCGAGACCCUCCCAGUGGGCACGUGCAGUAUCACAGUGUUGUGUAAUAUAUGGUGGCUCCCGGUGUGUGUGGGACCAGCAGCACCCAACGGGCACAGCUCUGCCACCAACCCGUGUCCGGCAGCUGAAGGUCUGGGGACAAAGUGGGGCAAAGGGAGAGAACCCUCUCCUCGAUGGGGCACGGCUGGCAGGCACUGAAGGGUUGAGCUCCGUGGGAUCCAUAAUUCAUGAGCUU